rnacentral:rRNA from 1 species
UACGUAGGGGGCAAGCGUUGUCCGGAUCUAUUGGGCGUAAAGAGCGUGUAGGCGGCCAGGUAGGUCUGCUGUGAAAACUCGAGGCUUAACCUCGAGACGCCGGCUGAAACCCUCUGGCUAGAGUCCGGAAGAGGAGAGCGGAAUUCCUGGUGUAGCGGUGAAAUGCGCAGAUAUCAGGAAGAACACCCGUGGCGAAGGCGGCUCUCUGGGACGGUACUGACGCUGAGACGCGAAAGCGUGGGGAGCGAACAGG